AGUGAACGCUGGCGGUAGGCCUAACACAUGCAAGUCGAACGGCAGCACAGGAGAGCUUGCUCUCUGGGUGGCGAGUGGCGGACGGGUGAGGAAUACAUCGGAAUCUACUUUUUCGUGGGGGAUAACGUAGGGAAACUUACGCUAAUACCGCAUACGACCUACGGGUGAAAGCAGGGGACCUUCGGGCCUUGCGCGAUUGAAUGAGCCGAUGUCGGAUUAGCUAGUUGGCGGGGUAAAGGCCCACCAAGGCGACGAUCCGUAGCUGGUCUGAGAGGAGGAUCAGCCACACUGGAACUGAGACACGGUCCAGACUCCUACGGGAGGCAGCAGUGGGGAAUAUUGGACAAUGGGCGCGAGCCUGAUCCAGCCAUACCGCGUGGGUGGAGAAGGCCUUCGGGUUGUAAAGCCCUUUUGUUGGGAAAGAAAUCCAGCUGGCUAAUACCCGGUUGGGAUGACGGUACCCAAAGAAUAAGCACCGGCUAACUUCGUGCCAGCAGCAGCCGCGG
rnacentral:rRNA from 1 species